rnacentral:rRNA from 1 species
AUUGAACGCUGGCGGCAGGCCUAACACAUGCAAGUCGAGCGGAGCGGCGGACGGGUGAGUAAUGCCUAUGAGUCUGCCUGGUAGUGGGGGAUCACGUCCGAAAACGGGCGCUAAUACCGCAUACUAUCAGUUGAGCCUAGGUCGGAUUAGCUAGUUGGUGGGGUAAAGGCUCACCUAGGCGACGAUCCCUCGCUGGUCUGAGAGGAUGACCAGCCACACUGGAACGGAGACACGGUCCAGACUCCGACGGGAGGCAGCAGUGGGGAAUAUUGCACAAUGGGCGCAAGCCUGAUGCAGCCAUGCCGCGUGUAUGAAGAAGGCCUUCGGGUUGUAAAGUACUUUCAGCGGGGAGGCGUUACCCGCAGAAGAAGCACCGGCUAACUCCGUGCCAGCAGCCGCGGUAAUUC